CCCCUGUUACUCAGUCACCAAGGGACGUGUGGCACUUUGUCAAGGGACGCAGAUCCCUUCCCCGGUUGGAACUGUGGAGGCUUACACGGCCAUUAACUUACAACGAAGGGACCCUCGGCAAUGGGGAAGGCUGUAUGACCACUUCAACUCCCUAAGUUUUGAAAAUAAUUAAAAAAUAACAGGUUCCGUCGGUGACCUAAGUAUGAAACUCGUGACAACGCUCCGCCGCAUUCCGCCUUGUUAAAAACUUUAAUGGUAUACAAACGGUAACAAACUUUAAGCCACUGGAACUUUUACUUAUCAUAUUCUACUCUUAUGUAACAACUUGAAAGCAAAGUCGAAGAGUUUAAAGAGAAAAUAGUCAUUAAAGAAUACAACAUCCUAACACUUUUCAAAAUCGAAUUGCUGUCUCUUUCUAAUACAAGUAGAAGAAGCGAGAGCUCAAUUUAUUUAAAUAUGCUUCAAGCGUUAAUAGCGAUAUGACGUCACAAAGAGUUGGCUAAAGAUUGGAAGCACUCAGGGUAAUAAGAUCACGGAUGGCGGAUGGAAAUUUAGCGACAAUCAAUAGCAAUGGAAGACAUUUUCACCACGCAUUAGUGAUGUGCCAAUAUAUCGAUAUUCGAUAUGCGCAGAACGGAAUAAAUAUUCAUGACGAUCUCACGACGCUAAGAAUUAUGGGAAUUAUCCUAGUUAUUCUAUAAAUCGAUAAUAUUUUAUAUUUUAAUACAUAAUCUGAUCUAUGAAUAUGUUAAUUAUAAAAAACAUAAAAUUCA